GGCAGCAGGGGGAGGCGGGCGGCGGGAGGGGGCGGAAGAGGUUGGCGGACAGCAUGGCGAAGAGCGGGCGAAGGAUUCCGGGGGGGGCGAGCGCUGGGCGGAGCGGAUGGCGGAGGAAAAAAAAAGAAGAGAGAGAAAAAAGAAGAGAGAGAAAGAAAAAGAAUAAGGGUAUUUUCGUCCGAUGGCAAAAAAUUCGGUCCGAAUUUGUAAAAUUAGAAAAAGUGACCCAGUUUUGUAAAAUCUCAAAACUUACAAAUUUUUUAUACAAAUUGGCCUUCUUUCAAUCAUACAAUAAAAUUUCAUAUAUAU
rnacentral:lncRNA from 1 species